ensembl:lncRNA
GAGCUAGAUGCUCAACAAGUUUAGGAACAGCUAAGGACCAGCUCAAACCAGCUGCCAUGCUUCAAAACAUACCUAACCAGCAUAUGCUGUUUUUUUCAAUGGUAAUAUUGUGUUUUUCUUUGACCUUGUAAUAGUACGGCAUUUUAGAUGUCCAUUUAGUGCUGGGACUUGAGGGAAAGAUCGCUGUGACUGUAAUAUUAGCAUUUGUUAACUGAAUUUGAGAACAGAAAGCUUCAGUCAGUGUGAGCGCAGAAGCUGAAUAGUGUUUUAAGAUAUUAUGAGAGAGAGAAAGGGAAAGUUGGGGACAGAGGAAUGUGUCAGUGUUCCUGUAACCACUAUGCCCCUAAACUGCAGCAAAUAAACAUUCCUCCGUUCGUGUGUCAGAGCUGAACACUUGCCCACUGUUGCUGUAAAAACAUAGCCAAUAAUUAAAACCAAAAAACCCAAUGCUUUUUCCUUUGUCGUAAACAACUUUUUCCCCCCAGUGGAUUUCAUUCAGACAGUCAUUCUAUUGAUAACUCCUUUUUUUUCUCCCCAAAACUGGAUAGGAUGGAAGUGCAUGAAGCACUGUAAAAAUAAACUACAGCAUAUGAUUUGCAGCUCCGCAGGCAAAAUGUGUGAUCAUUAUGCUGGAAGAUUUUUAGGGAGCAGUUGCAAGGCAGAGUACGAGCGAAUGAUGGAGAUGUUACAAGACUAGGUCUUUUGUGAUGUGAGAUGGCAGUUUCUCUGGAGCCACCAUCUGCUGAGAGGGAAAGCUGAAAAGAGACAGGAAGUGACAGGAUAGUGAUUGGACCUUGAGCUCCGAUUCAAACAUAGGUCAUCGGAGGCACUACUACACAACAUGUCAGAGCACAGCCCACAAGGCUAUGCUUUUCAAAGGUAAUCUAUUGUAAAAAUAUAUUAGUGCAGUAUUUUUGUCCUAUACUAUCAGUCAAAAUUUUGGAAUAGUUAAGAUGUUUUUGAAAGAAGUCUCUUAUGCUCAACAAGGUGGCAUUUAUUUGAUAGAAAAAUUAAGUAAUAUUAUGAAAUUUUAUUGCCA